AGUGGCAGGUUCCAACCUGGCCCCAGCCAAACUGCAACAACAACAACAACAACAACAACAACAACAACAGCAGCAGCAAAUAGGCAUUGUGGUGGGCACUUGUAGUUC
rnacentral:miRNA from 1 species